rnacentral:rRNA from 1 species
GGGUGAUCUGCCCUGCACUUCGGGAUAAGCCUGGGAAACUGGGUCUAAUACCGGAUAGGACCACGGGAUGCAUGUCUUGUGGUGGAAAGCGCUUUAGCGGUGUGGGAUGAGCCCGCGGCCUAUCAGCUUGUUGGUGGGGUGACGGCCUACCAAGGCGACGACGGGUAGCCGGCCUGAGAGGGUGUCCGGCCACACUGGGACUGAGAUACGGCCCAGACUCCUACGGGAGGCAGCAGUGGGGAAUAUUGCACAAUGGGCGCAAGCCUGAUGCAGCGACGCCGCGUGGGGGAUGACGGCCUUCGGGUUGUAAACCUCUUUCACCAUCGACGAAGGUCCGGGUUCUCUCGGAUUGACGGUAGGUGGAGAAGAAGCACCGGCCAACUACGUGCCAGCAGCCGCGGUAAUACGUAGGGUGCGAGCGUUGUCCGGAAUUACUGGGCGUAAAGAGCUCGUAGGUGGUUUGUCGCGUUGUUCGUGAAAUCUCACGGCUUAACUGUGAGCGUGCGGGCGAUACGGGCAGACUAGAGUACUGCAGGGGAGACUGGAAUUCCUGGUGUAGCGGUGGAAUGCGCAGAUAUCAGGAGGAACACCGGUGGCGAAGGCGGGUCUCUGGGCAGUAACUGACGCUGAGGAGCGAAAGCGUGGGGAGCGAACAGGAUUAGAUACCCUGGUAGUCCACGCCGUAAACGGUGGGUACUAGGUGUGGGUUUCCUUCCUUGGGAUCCGUGCCGUAGCUAACGCAUUAAGUACCCCGCCUGGGGAGUACGGCCGCAAGGCUAAAACUCAAAGGAAUUGACGGGGGCCCGCACAAGCGGCGGAGCAUGUGGAUUAA